rnacentral:rRNA from 1 species
CCUACGGGAGGCUGCAGUGGGGAAUAUUGCACAAUGGGCGCAAGCCUGAUGCAGCCAUGCCGCGUGUGUGAAGAAGGCCUUCGGGUUGUAAAGCACUUUCAGCGGGGAGGAAGGCGUUAAGGUUAAUAACCUUGUCGAUUGACGUUACCCGCAGAAGAAGCACCGGCUAACUCCGUGCCAGCAGCCGCGGUAAUACGGAGGGUGCAAGCGUUAAUCGGAAUUACUGGGCGUAAAGCGCACGCAGGCGGUCUGUCAAGUCGGAUGUGAAAUCCCCGGGCUCAACCUGGGAACUGCAUUCGAAACUGGCAGGCUAGAGUCGUGUAGAGGGGGGUAGAAUUCCAGGUGUAGCGGUGAAAUGCGUAGAGAUCUGGAGGAAUACCGGUGGCGAAGGCGGCCCCCUGGACAAAGACUGACGCUCAGGUGCGAAAGCGUGGGGAGCAAACAGGAUUAGAUACCCCGGUAGUC